CCUACGGGAGGCAGCAGUGAGGAAUAUUGGUCAAUGGGCGCGAGCCUGAACCAGCCAAGUCGCGUGAGGGAGGACGGCCCUACGGGUUGUAAACCUCUUUUGCCGGGGAGCAACGGGCGUCACGUGUGGCGCCACUGAGAGUACCCGGAGAAAAAGCAUCGGCUAACUCCGUGCCAGCAGCCGCGGUAAUACGGAGGAUGCGAGCGUUAUCCGGAUUUAUUGGGUUUAAAGGGUGCGUAGGCGGACAGUUAAGUCAGGGGUCAAAUUGAGGGGCUCAACCCCUUCCCGCCAUUGAAACUGGCGUUCUUGAGUGGGAGAGAAGUAUGCGGAAUGCGUGGUGUAGCGGUGAAAUGCAUAGAUAUCACGCAGAACCCCGAUUGCGAAGGCAGCAUGCCGGCUUCCGACUGACGCUGAGGCACGAAAGCGUGGGGAUCGAACAGGAUUAGAUACCCUUGUAGUC
rnacentral:rRNA from 1 species